rnacentral:rRNA from 1 species
UACGGAGGGUGCAAGCGUUAUCCGGAAUCACUGGGUUUAAAGGGUGCGUAGGUGGCGUUAUAAGUCAGAAGUGAAAGCCUGCAGCUUAACUGUGGAAUUGCUUUUGAAACUGUAAUGCUUGAAUCAGGCUGAGGUUAGCGGAAUGUGACAUGUAGCGGUGAAAUGCUUAGAUAUGUCAUAGAACACCAAUUGCGAAGGCAGCUGACUAGACCUGUAUUGACACUGAGGCACGAAAGCGUGGGGAGCGAACAGG